UACUUUCUGUCGAGAUUCCCGCCAACGGGGAAGUAUUAGUGCCAGUCCUCUGCCUCUUUUUGUUUCUGUUGUCUGGAUUUCAUUUAGUGGCCCACGAACAGAGCCAGGACAGCCAAGCCCUGCAGGUGGAGGCAGGGACCAGGCUCAGGAGCAAGGGCAGAGUGGUUUCUUUGUUUCUAAAGGGAAUGGCAGUGUUUUCUGCAGGUGGAUUUGCCACAGCCUUUCUUACAGGACUGAGACUGGGAUGAGAAGUGCCCUGAAGGGGGUGUGCUUGCAAGUAGGCAAAAGAGAAAUGCAAAUCAAGGUAACUGUGUUGGAGACCCUGCCUGGGAGCAGAGGGACGUGAGAGCCCCACCACCUUCUGCCUAGGAGCUGUGUAGAGUCCCCAUCCCAAACGGCGUGUUUCCUUAGCAAAACGGUUGUUCUUCUGGAAAGCCCCAGCUCCUCGCGUUACAUUACUACGUGAAGAAUCCCAGGCUGAAUUAUUUAGACAUACUUUUUUGUUAGUGGUC
rnacentral:lncRNA from 1 species